rnacentral:misc_RNA from 1 species
UUUCCGUAGGUGAACCUGCGGAAGGAUCAUUAAAAAUAAUCACAGUUUUGUGAUUUAAUAAUCAUCUACCCUUUGUGAAUUUGUUUUGUUAGAAAAUUAUGUGUCUAUCCUGAUGGUUUUGGAAAAGUUGAAAAACUUUUUCGAAUCCUCAGGGACUAGGCUUUCAUAGACCUUUUUUAAAUUAAACUUUUGUAUUCAUUUGUCUAAAAUUUAUUUUAAUAAUUUAAAAACAACUUUUGACAAUGGAUCUCUUGGUUCUCGCAACGAUGAAGAACGCAGCAAAUGCGAUAAGUAAUGUGAAUUGCAGAAUACGUGAAUCAUCAAAUCUUCGAACGCAUAUUGCACUUUUCUAGUUUACUAGAAAGUAUGUCUGUUUGAGUAUCAGUAAAUAUUCUCAUAAAAACAUUGUUUUUAUGGUUAUGAGUGUUUUACAACGAUAAACAAGUUGUUUCACUUUAAAUUGAUUUUUAAAAGCCAAUUUGGUUUUAUCUAAUAAAAUUGGAUAAAUUUUCCCGUAAAAGGAAUAAACUUUUCAGUUUUAAAGAGUAAACUUUAUUGAGCCUAAUAAAAGGAAAUUUAACUAAAUAACUUGAUCUCAAAUCAGAUAAGAGUACCCGCUGAACUUAAGCAUAUCAAUAAGCGGAGGAAAAGAAACUAACAAGGAUUCCCUUAGUAACGGCGAGUGAAGCGGGAAGAGCUCAAAUUGAAAUCUUCAAGGUUCUACCUUGACGAAUUGUAGUUUAUAGAAGUGUUUUCUGUUAGUGGAGUGGCAAAAGUUCUUGGAAUAGGACAUCAUAGAGGGUGAGAAUCCCGUAUUGGUCAUUCCUCCUAGCGCUGUGAUACACUUUCAACGAGUCGGAUUGUUUGGAAUGCAGUCCAAAAUGGGUGGUAAAUUUCAUCUAAAGCUAAAUAUUGGCGAGAGACCGAUAGCGAACAAGUACCGUGAGGGAAAGAUGAAAAGAACUUGAAAAGAGAGUUAAACAGUACGUGAAAUUGUCAAAAGGGAAGCGUUUGACACCAGUGUUGUUUUUCCGAAAAUCAAUUACGAAUGUUUUAUUUUGAGGAGUUAUGACUUCAUCGGCUUGCUCCUUUCUUUACGAAACUUUCUUAAUGCACUUUUCGGUUAACAGUCAACAUCAAUUUCUUUUGUUGUAAAGGUAUGAGGAAGGUGGCUUCUUUUCGGAGAAAGUGUUUAUAGCCUUGUGCCUCUGCAAUCGGAGAGAUUGAGGUCUGCAGCGUAGAUCCUUCGGGGUUAGAUACUUUGUGCUAAGUUAUAGCUUUUCAUAGACAACUUGUUGACUAUGUUUAGUCUUGUAGCUUACUCGCUAUGCUAUUUACCUACGCUUAGGA